AAGAGAGAGCGCGGGCUGUGGGCGGUGCGGGUGGCGCCGGCGUGAGCGCGCGUGGAGGCGGCACUCGGGAGGCAGCGGUCGGGGCCGCGGGCCUUCGAGGGGUCCCGCAGGAGUGCGGUAAAGGAGCCGGUGGCUCCCGCACUAUUGCAGACAAUGUGGUAUACUGUCUGCUCAGCCUGACGCUGAUCCCUCACUGAUCUGAAGGCCAGCCGGAAGCCAGUGUACAGGGGUAGUGGCAGCCCGUCCAUGUGUACCCCCAGAAGAUCAGGGCCGUAGAGGAGAAUGAGAAGUGGAGGCUGGCAACAAAAACAGGAGGAGGAACAGUGACAAGUGUCACCCAGGGUGGUGAUGGCCGCCCCGCCAGCACAUCCUCCCCGACCUUCCACCGCGCCCUGCUCUUCCAGUGUGCUGAGGUGUUUUCAGGUCGUGGCAGAGGAAAUUGUUCUCCAGACCCUGAAGUCAAAAGAUACCCAGCCCUGAGCCCUGGGGAGCUCCACCGCGUCCUAGCCCACCGCACCGCCGUCCCCGGCUGGUCCUCCUGGAGCGAGAAGCCCAGACUUGUGUGCCGCCUCACACGCUCACAGAUGGCUUCCCUGCCCAGGGCUGGCUGCUGCUAAUUUUGGCUGUUGGAGGCUCCGUGUGCGCUCUCUCUUUUUUUAAUUCCAUGUUUAUUUAAAGCCAGAUUUUGAAAUCUUGUCGUCAACUCUGAAGUCUGAAAUUUUCUUGCUGCAGAUCUUCCCCCCCAACACACACACAUACACACUCACACACAGGAUGCAAAGUACAGGAGGCUUGAUGCACAACUAGACAGGGCUCCCUGACAGCCGACCUGUUGUGUCAGCACAGAGCACGGGACGUCCCUGUGCAUGCUGGUGUUUCCGGG
rnacentral:lncRNA from 1 species